AUGGAAGGUUGAGAUCUGGGUUACAACGGGAUCUGGGGGUCCUUGUACAUCAGUCUAUGAAAGUAAGCAUGCAGGUACAACAGGCAGUGAAGAAAGCGAAUGGUAUGUUGACCUUUUAUAACAAGCGGAAUCGAAUAUAUGAGCAAAGAUGUCCUUCUGCAGUUGUACAGGGCCCGAGUGAGACCACACCAGGAGUAUUGU